UAGGGCAGCUCACUCUUCUUUGAGAGGCCUGACUUCCGACUCCAGAUGUCGGAGAGGGACCUCAGGUGCUGAGUCAGGCAUCUUCUGUCCUCUUUCAUACUGAGCUCACAUCUGCCUGUGGCUCCACAGGAAGGUUUUGGCGGAUGGAGGGAGUCAGGGAACCGCUGGGAUUUGAAUUCCAGCUUUCUUCCAGACAGGCUGUCGCUCUCUCUUCAGCUUAAAACCCUUUCCCUUUGGCUCCACGAGAACCUGCCCUGGUCAGAAAAGCCGAGCUCUGGACUGAGACAUUUAAUCCGGCAUCUCUGCAGGCCAACACCCCUUAGAGCCUGACUGGAGUGGCGCCUGGUCUAAUUGUCCGCAACCCAAUAAGAGGCUUGUGCGAUGGAGCCCACGGCAGCGGGGGCACCCGCGGGUCCCCCAAAUCCGGGAGAAGAGAGUGGACCUGCCUUCUCUGCACCAUCAGCGGUAGCACAGCCAGACCCGCAGAAGCACUCUUGCUUGUCUCAGGCUCUCCCUUCCAACCCCUACAAUCGCCUCUGCCUUCUGAGAAAUAUCUUCUCCCAGUCAGACCCUCUGGCCCCUCACUGAAAAUCCUAUGUGGGACCUCCUACCUGCAGCCCUCCUUGGUGGCUGAGAUCUUGGCAUCAUUACUCACCAUCAGUUCAGAUCUUCAUUUGCAAAGCUCAUCAAAGCGCGGGAACCAGCCUUGCUGGGGGCUCCCCAGGCCAUUCCUCCUGGUGAUUUCCCAGCUCCAGGCCCUGGGUUUAUAUCCCCACCCCUUCACCCCCACCUCCGCAAGCAGCACCACUCACCCCAGAAGCUCUCCUGCCCCAUCCCUCUGGACAGAGGGUUCUGGAAUCUCUCGCCAGGCACUGGGGGGUCUCUGCAUCCCUCAGCCGGGACACCAGGCCCCUCUGUGAGUUCCCCUUUUUCAAUAAAUGCUUUUGCUGCCUGGCCCACAGCUGUGUCUGUCUUUACUUGGGCAGGGGAGGUGAUGUGAGAGUCAGGAGGUGAAUCGAACACAGGGUCACACAAAACUCAACCCAAGAGUUGAGGUUGACCUCAGGUGCUCCGGGUUUGAUACGAAGUCUGGGACCAAGAGAGCUCGCCGCCCCACUGUGGGCACAGUGAGCCCUCAGGCCAGUGCUUCGUUUAUUCUUCUUUUAAAGGACAGUUCC
rnacentral:lncRNA from 1 species